CGGGAGGGAAGGCUGUUUAUGGCUAGCUGGCUUUAUGGAGAGCUUAUCGAUGCAGCUGUAGGGAACAGAGCGACUUCUUCUCGAAACAGUGCUGAGAAAAUGGGAAGUGCUGUCAGGAUGUUAGAGAGAGCUGGGGCAUAACCAUGGAGAAGAAAGAGAGAGCUGGGGCAUAACCAUGGAGAAGAAAGAGAGAGCUGGGGCAUAACCAUGGAGAAGAAAGAGAGAGCUGGGGCAUAACCAUGGAGAAGAAAGAGAGAGCUGGGGCAUAACCAUGGAGAAGAAAGAGAGCGCGAUGGAGAUAUUGAAAUAGAGGCUGUCUCCCAGAGCCAUCAGACACUGAGCGAAGCCCUUAUAGAUGGAGUGACACCUCCUGGUGGAGGAGGCAGAGCUGGGACAGGGGCCGACGACUGGACGGAGACACAGAGACAUACAGUAUACCAUCAGCACUCUCUGUAUCCCUGGCUCACA